rnacentral:rRNA from 1 species
AACGAACGCUGGCGGCGUGUUUAAGACAUGCAAGUCGAACGGGUUGAAGUUGUAGCAAUACCGCUUCAACCAGUGGCGCACGGGUGCGUAACACGUGAGUUACAUGCCCUGCAGUGGGGAAUAGCCCGCCGAAAGGCGGAUUAAUACCCCAUGGUCCCGCAAGGGUAAAGGUGGCGCAAGCUGCCGCUGCAGGAUUGGCUCGCGGCCUAUCAGCUAGUUGGCGAGGUAACGGCUCACCAAGGCGACGACGGGUACCUGGUCUGAGAGGAUGAUCAGGCACACUGGAACUGAGACACGGUCCAGACACCUACGGGUGGCAGCAGUCGAGAAUAAUUCACAAUGGGGGAAACCCUGAUGGUGCAACGCCGCGUGGAGGAUGAAGGUCUUCGGAUUGUAAACUCCUGUCAUCGGGGAGUAAGACCUGACGGUAAAUAGCCGGCAGGGUUGAUAGUACCCGAAGAGGAAGGGACGGCUAACUUCGUGCCAGCAGCCGCGGUAAGAC